rnacentral:rRNA from 1 species
GACGAACGCUGGCGGCGUGCUUAACACAUGCAAGUCGAACGAUGAACCGGUUUCGGCCGGGGAUUAGUGGCGAACGGGUGAGUAACACGUGGGCAAUCUGCCCUGCACUCUGGGAUAAGCCCGGGAAACUGGGUCUAAUACCGGAUACGACACUCCGAGGCAUCUUGGGGUGUGGAAAGUUCCGGCGGUGCAGGAUGAGCCCGCGGCCUAUCAGCUUGUUGGUGGGGUAAUGGCCUACCAAGGCGACGACGGGUAGCCGGCCUGAGAGGGUGACCGGCCACACUGGGACUGAGACACGGCCCAGACUCCUACGGGAGGCAGCAGUGGGGAAUAUUGCACAAUGGGCGAAAGCCUGAUGCAGCGACGCCGCGUGAGGGAUGACGGCCUUCGGGUUGUAAACCUCUUUCAGCAGGGAAGAAGCGAAAGUGACGGUACCUGCAGAAGAAGCACCGGCUAACUACGUG